AUGGGAGCCAGGAGCGACCAUAGCGCCAUAGCGGCACGGUGGGAUGGCAGCUUGUGGCGGCGGCGGUGCUCUACCUCGGCUCCAACGCCGCCUGUUACCCUGCGGGACAUGAGGCUUCAGUUCAGUAGCUCCAUGGAAAAGGAAAAAAAGAAGAGAUUAGAGAGUGGCGAUUUUCAUAAUGGUAGAACUGAAGAGGAUGGCGCGGAGGAUGAUCAUCGUGCAGCACGAACAGAACUCAAAGAUCGGAUUGUGUUGUUCCCCUCAAGAUCGACCUUUGUUUUGUGUGUGCUUGAUGCCCAUGGUGUGUCUUGUUGGCCUGGCCACCUGGUGCUCCCCUUUGCCGGCUUUCCUUGCUCCUGUUUCCAUGUGUACGUAUAG
rnacentral:rRNA from 1 species